UACGAAGGGGGCUAGCGUUGCUCGGAAUCACUGGGCGUAAAGCGCACGUAGGCGGACUCUUAAGUCGGUGGUGAAAUCCUGGAGCUCAACUCUGGAACUGCCUUUGAUACUGGGUAUCUCGAGUAUGGAAGAGGUGAGUGGAAUUCCGAGUGUAGAGGUGAAAUUCGUAGAUAUUCGGAGGAACACCAGUGGCGAAGGCGGCUCACUGGUCCAUUACUGACGCUGAGGUGCGAAAGCGUGGGGAGCAAACAGG
rnacentral:rRNA from 1 species